UACGUAGGGACCGAGCGUUGUCCGGAUUCAUUGGGCGUAAAGAGCUCGUAGGCGGCCACUCAAGUCGAAUGUGAAACCUCGAGGCUUAACCUCGAGCCUGCAUUCGAUACUGGGCGGCUAGAGUCUGGUAGGGGGAUCUGGAAUUCCUGGUGUAGCGGUGGAAUGCGCAGAUAUCAGGAGGAACACCGGUGGCGAAGGCGGCCUACUGGUCCAUCACUGACGCUGAGAUGCGAAAGCGUGGGGAGCAAACAGG
rnacentral:rRNA from 1 species